rnacentral:lncRNA from 1 species
AGUAGGGUUUGCUUGGUGCCAGUCCUGUGCCCUUUUCUCUCCAGUCAUCUGUAGUUGUGAUCAGAAAAAGAUAUCUGCACUGCACUGUCAGAGUCUCCUUUCACUAUGUUGUGUGUUAAAUUACCGUAGCUCUUUGUUUCAUGAAAUAAACUGUGAAUUUGGUGGGGGGGCGGGGGGAGGGCGUGCAGGCCAUGUAAAAAUUUUCCGUGGAGAAGUUUGAUUCUAAAGUAGCUUCUCUAAAGUAGGCUUUGGUAGGUAAUCAACUUGACAGCAGUCUAGAUGUCUCACAGGACAGGAGGGAGUGAGGGAAAGGGGCCAUGAUUGGCUGCUUUGUGGUUUUAUUUUGGUUCUUUCCAUUCUCCGCCAUUCACUGGAGGCUUCGUUCCAGACCUGCCUGGGAAAACAGCUUCUGAGCCAUUUUGGGGAGCAGUUCUUCAUCUGAAUGGAUGGACAUCUGGGCUUCCUUCAAGGGCCAUUGAAUGGAAACUAGAAAACCAUUAGAAACUAGAAAUUUGAGCUAUUGGGCCCACCAAUAGCAGCAUCUGAUACUAGAUUGUUAAAAUCAUGAAAGCAGUCACUAUCCAAUUAGUCACAACAACUGUUGGGAAAUGUGACUCUUGGAUGAAGGUGGGGAGGGAGUGGCCUUGCCAGCCCUGUGGGACGUCUCCUGAAGUUUGUAAUAAGACCCCUUUUCCAAGGGGAUGUGAAUUGGAGUGAAAAGGAAAUCUUUCAUCUUAGAAAACUUCUGGUCCUUAUGCAGGGUGGUAUUUGGGUAUGUGCUUGGAAAUUGAGAUCUCAAAGAGUGUUUGCCUUGGAGCCAGCUCCCCAGGAAGCCUUUUCCAGGGACAAGGCAAAAGUUGAAAUUCUCCAUAGGUAGCUAGAAAGCCAGUACAUCUCCUAGCCCUGCUAAGUCAGAAAAAGAUCAUGACAAAUGUCGAAAUUUACAUUCAAAGCCUCAUUUGCUUAUCUUGCUGGAGCCAACCCAGUCUAAUAGCAAAAUAGCUGUCAUUGAUACAGAAACAUCCUCAUUUUUAAAUGUCUGCUUUACCCUGUUAUUGAGUUUGAGAUGACUUAAAUCACUGUGUUGACCCUCUUCUGAACCAAAUCUUUAGCAUUGAUGAAAAUAGUUAUUUUAUUCUUUACAUCCUUCACCCCACACUAUGGUCAGGGCAUGAAACACCCUGUUGAUCCCUUCCCAGGCUCGGCACUGUCUGCUCACUGGAGCUGGACUCCCAGGUUGUAAUUCUAAUGUUGCCUCGUGAGAACAGAAUGGCAGAAAGUUUAGUCCUGGCAGCUUCCCCCAUAGGGAGUAAUGAGGACAGCACGAAACUUGGAUAGGUUUUACCCUUAGUCCCUAUAAGGUGGAUUUUACUAAGGUUUUUUAAAUGAUACUGUCAUCCUCUUGGGGUUUGUCAGCCAGGUUAGAGGAGCCCAGUGUCCUAACCUCUCUCAGAUCAUGGCAGAGAAGGAGCUGCCUCCAGCCCCUUUCUUGCUGAGUCUCAUUUGAGCAGUUCCAUGUGUAGACAUUCCAAGUCACUGCUUGGUAGUUGCUGUGGGAGCCUGUCAUUGGCUAUGGCCAGUUAGUUCUCAGCUGAGCUUCCUAGGGCCAGUGCAACAGGGCCAGAGGCUGCUAUAGUGUAAAUUGAAAUAAGAAUAGAUCAUUGUUUGUACACACACACACACACACACACAAAUGUAAUGAUGGUGCUAAUUUCACGGUAUAAAUAAGCACUGCCAAGGGUUGAGGGACUGGCAGCUCAAGAAACCCGGGUUCCUGUUUGGGAGGAGAUUUUAUGUAGAAAAGUUUGAGGCUUUGUUAAAAGUGGGGAGAAGGAAGAUCCUCAGUGAAGCUUGCACCCAACCCUGGAGUGGCCCAGUGCAAUCUAGAGGUGGAAGAGAUCCUAUAUCCAGGUGAAGGUGGCCAUUGAGUUUCUCAGGGCUGGGGGCCACCUUGUCCAUAGCCUCCGUCCACGCUGCCUGGAGCAGGUUGUUAGAGAGCUCUGGUUGUUGGGUCUUCCUCAGCUCCCUUCUGCCCCUCUCUACCUCUUCCACUCAUGGAAGCACCUCUACUGCUUAUGAAGAUUAAGGGUAAUAUUUUUUAAGGAAGUGGAAAGAAUUAAACUAGAAAUCCACAACCUCGGAAGAAGUGUUUCGAGUUUAACAUGCGCUAUUUCUGCUUAUGUGGUUCCUUCUCUAGAGCUGCUUUCCCAUGACUUUCAAAACAUCAGGUUAUUGUGGGGCUUCAGGUGUAAGGUCCUGGAAGUUAAGCAAAGUUUCGUGGACAAGAGAUGGGAAGAGAGAGUAGAAGCAGAAAUAAAUGGUUCUAUGUUUUCAACUUCCAGGGUUGGGGCAGGCCAGAGCAAGGCGGUCUCAUCGAGGUGGGUGCUACCUGUGUGUGUGUAGAUGAGUGUGCUGAAGGUGGGGAGGGCAGCACAGCAGCUCAUGGCAGAGCCGCCUCCUAGGUCUUGGCAAAGAGGCAAGCUGACGAUAGACAUCUACCUAUAUUGUUAAGAAAGGGGUCGGGGGGAUCAGCCAAGGUCCAUCAUUGUUUUUUUUUGCCGCCCCCCCACCCCCCACCCCCAUAGAUUGUCAGCUGUAAGUGAAACUCCUAGUGAAAAAGAGGGGAGCCCUGUGUUAGGAGUCCCCAUAAACAUGUACUGUAAUUCUUUGUAUAUAGAAAAAAAAAUUUACUGUAAAGUAAAGUUUAACUUUACUCAU